GAUGAACGCUAGCGGCAGGCUUAACACAUGCAAGCAGGGGUAACAGGGAUUGCUUGCAAUCCGCUGACGACCGGCGCACGGGUGCGUAACGCGUAUGCAACUACCGUUUUACUCGGGGGAUAGUCAAGAGAAAUUUUGAAUAAUACCCCAUACGAUCUGAUUCACUCCUGUGAAACAGAAGAAAACUACGAUGGUAAAAGAUGGGCAUGCGUCCUAUUAGUUUGUUGGUGAGGUAACGGCUCACCAAGACUACGAUAGGUAGGGGUCCUGAGAGGGAGAUCCCCCACACUGGUACUGAGACACGGACCAGACUCCUACGGGAGGCAGCAGUGAGGAAUAUUGGACAAUGGAGGCAACUCUGAUCCAGCCAUGCCGCGUGCAGGAAGACGGCCCUAUGGGUUGUAAACUGCUUUUAUACAGGAAGAAACGUUAGUACGUGUACUAGCCUGACGGUACUGUAAGAAUAAGGAUCGGCUAACUCCGUG
rnacentral:rRNA from 1 species